CCUACGGUGGGCUGCAGUGGGGAAUAUUGCUCAAUGGAGGCAACCCUGAUGCAGCGACGCCGCGUGCGUGAAGAAGUCUUUCUGUAUUUUAAGCUCUAUCAGCACGGAAGCAAAUGCCGGUACCUGACUCAGUAUCCCCGGCUAACUACGUGCCAGCAUCCGCGGUAAUACGGAGGGGGCCAGCGUUAUCCGGAUUUACUGGGUGUAAAGGGAGCGUAGACGGCCAGACAAGUCAGAAGUGAAAGCCCAGGGCUCAACUCCGGGACUGCUGUUGAUACUGUCGGGCUAGAGUGCAGGUGAGGUAAGCGGAAUGUCUAGUGUAGCGGUGAAAUGCGUAGAGAUCAGAAGGAACACCAGUGGCGAAGGCGGCUUACCGGACUGCAACUGACGUUGAGGCUCGAAAGCGUGGGGAGCAAACAGGAUUAGAUACCCUAGUAGUC
rnacentral:rRNA from 1 species